rnacentral:misc_RNA from 1 species
GGCAGUAAAAGUCGUAACAAGGUUUCCGUAGGUGAACCUGCGGAAGGAUCAUUACAGAGUUCAUGCCCUCACGGGUAGAUCUCCCACCCUUGAAUAUUUAUACCUUAGUUGCUUUGGCAGGCCGUGGAAACACCAUGGGCUCCGGCUUAUGCGUGCCUGCCAGAGGAAACAAACUCUGUUUUUAGUGACGUCUGAGUACUAUAUAAUAGUUAAAACUUUCAACAACGGAUCUCUUGGUUCUG